UCGUCAGGCUCAAUUCUCUGGGCCGCUCAGCCGGUAACGGCUGAGGCAACACCCGUCAAAUUCGGGGAACCCUUCACUGGGAAUCCCGAGCCAAGCCCUGCGGUGGUCAGCGCGGGGAAGGUGUAGAGACUAGACGGCGGGCAUCCGUCGAAGGUGGUGGCGGAUGAAGGGAUAGUCCAGACCACAAAUUCG
rnacentral:ncRNA from 1 species